rnacentral:rRNA from 1 species
CAGUCGCCACGGUAAAACGAAGGGGGCUAGCGUUGUUCGGAUUUACUGGGCGUAAAGCGCACGUAGGCGGACUUUUAAGUCAGGGGUGAAAUCCCGGGGCUCAACCCCGGAACUGCCUUUGAUACUGGAAGUCUUGAGUAUGGUAGAGGUGAGUGGAAUUCCGAGUGUAGAGGUGAAAUUCGUAGAUAUUCGGAGGAACACCAGUGGCGAAGGCGGCUCACUGGACCAUUACUGACGCUGAGGUGCGAAAGCGUGGGGAGCAAACAGGAUUAGAUACCCCUGUAGUCCCUGUCUCUUAUAU